rnacentral:lncRNA from 1 species
AAUCAAUCGUACACGAAAAAUGACACAAUCUAUUAGAAAGAACAAUUAUAUAAAAAGAAAACACAAAUUAAUAAGGUAUGAGUUAUUCUCCAUUUUAUCAUUUCUUAGCUCUUAUGUGUCAAAAGUCCAAUGGGUAGUUUUAAUGAUCAAUGCUAAGAAAUAAUUAUGAUAUGCAAUAUUAAGAUGAUUUAUAUACACAAGAAGUGUUGAAGGAAAUUGAUCAAUGCCUUAAACUCUUAUUCCAAAAUUUUGAUAAAACGAUAGUCACUGAAAUCAAUUUGUAUAAGAAAAGACUAGACCCAUAGAAGAAAGAAACAAUAGAGGGAAGGUCUCAUAAUGCUCUGUCGCCCCUACAUCUCGUGCUCUUCCUUUAUAUUUUUUCAUUUUCUUUCACCUUCAACGACUUCUUAUGCUUUUUGUUACUUCGUCUUAGCACACACAAUGUUUCAAUACGUACCUUCUAUCAUUGUACUACUUCUUAGACAAACUACAAAGUGACAAACAUCAAGGAUGUCAAGUGCUGAAAUAAUAAGUUGGUCAUUAGUGACAACAAAGGGAAGUGAAACAUAUUGAACAGAAAGAAAGCCUAAACAUUUCUUCAGUAAAGAAACAUAUAUAAAAGAUUGGGUGGAUACAAGCCCCAGGCACUAAGAGCAAUU